rnacentral:rRNA from 1 species
AGAGUUUGAUCCUGGCUCAGGACGAACGCUGGCGGCGUGCCUAAUACAUGCAAGUCGAACGAAGCUUUCUUUCACCGAAUGCUUGCAUUCACCGAAAGAAGCUUAGUGGCGAACGGGUGAGUAACACGUAGGCAACCUGCCCAAAAGAGGGGGAUAACACUUGGAAACAGGUGCUAAUACCGCAUAACCAUGAACACCGCAUGAUGUUCAUGUAAAAGACGGCUUUUGCUGUCACUUUUGGAUGGGCCUGCGGCGUAUUAACUUGUUGGUGGGGUAACGGCCUACCAAGGUGAUGAUACGUAGCCGAACUGAGAGGUUGAUCGGCCACAUUGGGACUGAGACACGGCCCAAACUCCUACGGGAGGCAGCAGUAGGGAAUCUUCCACAAUGGACGAAAGUCUGAUGGAGCAACGCCGCGUGAAUGAAGAAGGCCUUCGGGUCGUAAAAUUCUGUUGUCAGAGAGGAACGUGCGUGAGAGUAACUGUUCACGUAUUGACGGUAUCUGACCAGAAAGCCACGGCUAACUACGUGCCAGCAGCCGCGGUAAUACGUAGGUGGCAAGCGUUGUCCGGAUUUAUUGGGCGUAAAGGGAACGCAGGCGGUCUUUUAAGUCUGAUGUGAAAGCCUUCGGCUUAACCGAAGUAGUGCAUUGGAAACUGGAAGACUUGAGUGCAGAAGAGGAGAGUGGAACUCCAUGUGUAGCGGUGAAAUGCGUAGAUAUAUGGAAGAACACCAGUGGCGAAAGCGGCUCUCUGGUCUGUAACUGACGCUGAGGUUCGAAAGCGUGGGUAGCAAACAGGAUUAGAUACCCUGGUAGUCCACGCCGUAAACGAUGAGUGCUAAGUGUUGGAGGGUUUCCGCCCUUCAGUGCUGCAGCUA